UACGUAGGGGGCAAGCGUUGUCCGGAUUUAUUGGGCGUAAAGAGCGUGUAGGCGGCCAUACAGGUCCGUUGUGAAAACUGGAGGCUCAACCUCCAGACGUCGACGGAAACCGUAUGGCUAGAGUCCGGAAGAGGAGAGUGGAAUUCCUGGUGUAGCGGUGAAAUGCGCAGAUAUCAGGAAGAACACCCGUGGCGAAGGCGGCUCUCUGGGACGGUACUGACGCUGAGACGCGAAAGCGUGGGGAGCAAACAGG
rnacentral:rRNA from 1 species